UACGUAGGGUGCGAGCGUUGUCCGGAAUUAUUGGGCGUAAAGAGCUCGUAGGCGGUCUGUCGCGUCGGCCGUGAAAACCUGCAGCUUAACUGUGGGCUUGCGGUCGAUACGGGCAUGACUGGAGUUCGGCAGGGGAGACUGGAAUUCCUGGUGUAGCGGUGAAAUGCGCAGAUAUCAGGAGGAACACCGAUGGCGAAGGCAGGUCUCUGGGCCACUACUGACGCUGAGAAGCGAAAGCAUGGGGAGCGAACAGG
rnacentral:rRNA from 1 species